GUUGUUAGCUGAACACCAUGCAGACAGCUUCAGGAUCUCGUCUCUGUAUGCCGACUCGUCGUCUCCCUUAUAUAUUUGGCCGACCACAGUGGUGUCAUCUGCAACAGCUCUCUCUGGCCAAAAGUAAACUAGUAAACUAUCCACCCCUGACUAAUGUUAAGAGACAUCAUUUGAGCAGAUUAUUUCCCAGAUGCACAUUACAUUUUCAAACAGUGUGAAGUGGACAGUAUUGCUGCUCUUUCAAAAUGAUGUGUAUUCUGGGGGCGACAUAUGCAGCUAGAGUUUCGAAAGGAGGUAAAAGCAUGGAGUCCAAAAUCAUCAGCGUGAGGGACAGCAUAAAGCCCAAAACCCCAACAAUCAUCUCAGUGAAAGAAUCCAAUGGGAAUUUUCAAAUCAAGUGGAACGCAAGC